rnacentral:rRNA from 1 species
CAGCAGCCACGGGAACACGGAGGAUCCAAGCGUUAUCCGGAAUCAUUGGGUUUAAAGGGUCCGUAGGCGGUCUUGUAAGUCAGUGGUGAAAGCCCAUCGCUCAACGGUGGAACGGCCAUUGAUACUGCAGGACUUGAAUUAUUGGGAAGUAACUAGAAUAUGUAGUGUAGCGGUGAAAUGCUUAGAGAUUACAUGGAAUACCAAUUGCGAAGGCAGGUUACUACCAAUUGAUUGACGCUGAUGGACGAAAGCGUGGGUAGCGAACAGGAUUAGAUACCCGAGUAGUCCCUGUCUCUUAUAC